CGCCCUUAGAGUUUGAUCGUGGCUCAGAUUGAACGCUGGCGGCAGGCUUAACACAUGCAAGUCGAACGGUAUAGGUGCUUGCACCUGACGAGUGGCGGACGGGUGAGUAAUGUAUGGGGAUCUGCCGAAUGGAUUGGGACAACCACUGGAAACGGUGGCUAAUACCGAAUAAUGUUGAGAGACCAAAGUGUUUCGACAUGCCAUUUGAUGAACCCAUAUGGGAUUAGCUAGUAGGCGGGGUAAUGGCCCACCUAGGCGACGAUCUCUAGCUGGUCUGAGAGGAUGACCAGCCACACUGGGACUGAGACACGGCCCAGACUCCUACGGGAGGCAGCAGUGGGGAAUAUUGCACAAUGGGGGAAACCCUGAUGCAGCCAUGCCGCGUGUAUGAAGAAGGCCUUCGGGUUGUAAAGUACUUUCGGUAGUGAGGAAGGUUACUAUUAACAUAGUAAAUUGACGUUAAUUACAGAAGAAGCACCGGCUAACUCCGUGCCAGCAGCCGCGGUAAUACGGAGGGUGCGAGCGUUAAUCGGAAUGACUGGGCGUAAAGGGCAUGUAGGUGGAUAAUUAAGUUAGGUGUGAAAGCCCCGAGCUCAACUUGGGGAAUUCACUUAAAACUGGGUAU
rnacentral:rRNA from 1 species